GAGUUUGUUUGAAAUUUUGUAACGCUAAGUGUUACACUUUUUUUUAACCAGUUCUAUUGUAGGAAGUUGACCUUCUGUGCUUCCUCUUCAGCAUUUAUCCCGUUGCGACCCGAAGUCGACUCGGUAUUAAAAUAUUUAGCUAAAUUUAAAAAAUUGUGUUGAAAUAAAUUAGAAGCAUUAACGAAAACUUGUUUCUUAUCCAUGAGGAUCUGCAUUCUGGAUAUGAAUGGUUCUGGGGACUGUGGCGGGGUUAAUAAAGGAGGCAGACACAUGGAAGCCCAUCUAAGCAGAAAAAAUGACAAUUAAAGGAAGUUCAAAUGACAGCAACAAGUAGGCACGGUUUCUGUGAUAACAUUUUGCACAAUUGUAGACGACUAGUGUUUAUCCAUAAGCUGGCGAUGAACAAACUAAUCUUCAGCUUCAAUUUUUGAAGUAGUUCACCAUCGAUGGCCAUCAUACUGAUUUUCAAGUGCUCAAUAAUAUAAACGUUAUCGCGAUGAUUCCUCCGAAUAAAAACAUGAAGCGAU